GAUGAACGCUGGCGGCGUGCCUAAUACAUGCAAGUCGAACGCAGUGGGGACGGGUGAGUAACACGUGGGUAACCUCCCAUCAGAGGGGAUAAAACUUGGAAACAGGUGCUAAACCGAUACUGAUGGAUGGACCCGCGGUGCAUUAGCUAGUUGGUGGGGUAACGGCUCACCAAGGCCACGAUGCAUAGCUGGCCUGAGAGGGUGAUCAGCCACACUGGGACUGAGACACGGCCCAGACUCCUACGGGAGGCAGCAGUAGGGAAUCUUCGGCAAUGGACGAAAGUCUGACCGAGCAACGCCGCGUGAGUGAAGAAGGUUUUCGGAUCGUAAAACUCUGUUGGUAGGGAGGCGGUAUCUAACCAAAAAGCCACGGCUAACUCCGUGCCAGCCGCCGCGGUAAUAC
rnacentral:rRNA from 1 species